rnacentral:rRNA from 1 species
UACGAAGGGGGCUAGCGUUGUUCGGAAUUACUGGGCGUAAAGCGCGUGUAGGCGGGUCUUUAAGUCAGGGGUGAAAUGCCAGGGCUCAACCUUGGAACUGCCUUUGAUACUGGAGACCUUGAGUCCGGGAGAGGUGAGUGGAAUUGCGAGUGUAGAGGUGAAAUUCGUAGAUAUUCGCAAGAACACCAGUGGCGAAGGCGGCUCACUGGCCCGGUACUGACGCUGAGGUACGAAAGCGUGGGGAGCAAACAGG